UACGGAGGGGGCUAGCGUUGUUCGGAAUUACUGGGCGUAAAGCGCACGUAGGCGGAUCAGCAAGUUAGAGGUGAAAUCCCAGGGCUCAACCUUGGAACUGCCUUUAAAACUGUUGGUCUAGAGUUCGAGAGAGGUGAGUGGAAUUCCGAGUGUAGAGGUGAAAUUCGUAGAUAUUCGGAGGAACACCAGUGGCGAAGGCGGCUCACUGGCUCGAUACUGACGCUGAGGUGCGAAAGCGUGGGGAGCAAACAGG
rnacentral:rRNA from 1 species